rnacentral:rRNA from 1 species
CCUACGGGAGGCUGCAGUGGGGAAUAUUGGACAAUGGGGGGAACCCUGAUCCAGCCAUGCCGCGUGUGUGAAGAAGGCCCUCGGGUUGUAAAGCACUUUCAGUGAGGAAGAACGCCUGGUGGUUAAUACCCAUCAGGAAAGACAUCACUCACAGAAGAAGCACCGGCUAACUCCGUGCCAGCAGCCGCGGUAAUACGGAGGGUGCGAGCGUUAAUCGGAAUUACUGGGCGUAAAGCGCGCGUAGGUGGCUUGAUAAGCCGGUUGUGAAAGCCCCGGGCUCAACCUGGGAACGGCAUCCGGAACUGGCAAGCUAGGGGGCAGGGGAGGAAGGUAGAAUUCCCGGUGUAGCGGUGAAAUGCGUAGAGAUCGGGAGGAAUACCAGUGGCGAAGGCGGCCUUCUGGACUGACACUGACACUGAGGUGCGAAAGCGUGGGUAGCAAACAGGAUUAGAUACCCUAGUAGUC